GACGCCCGCUUUCUUCUUGCUUAACACAUGCAAGUCGAACGGAAAGGCCCUGCUUUUGUGGGGUGCUCGAGUGGCGAACGGGUGAGUAACACGUGAGUAACCUGCCCUUGACUUUGGGAUAACUUCAGGAAACUGGGGCUAAUACCGGAUAGGAGCUCCUGCUGCAUGGUGGGGGUUGGAAAGUUUCGGCGGUUGGGGAUGGACUCGCGGCUUAUCAGCUUGUUGGUGGGGUAGUGGCUUACCAAGGCUUUGACGGGUAGCCGGCCUGAGAGGGUGACCGGCCACAUUGGGACUGAGAUACGGCCCAGACUCCUACGGGAGGCAGCAGUGGGGAAUAUUGCACAAUGGGCGGAAGCCUGAUGCAGCAACGCCGCGUGCGGGAUGACGGCCUUCGGGUUGUAAACCGCUUUCGCCUGUGACGAAGCGUGAGUGACGGUAAUGGGUAAAGAAGCACCGGCUAACUACGUG
rnacentral:rRNA from 1 species